rnacentral:lncRNA from 1 species
CUUCCGGCUCUUCCUGCUCCUUUCCCAACUAGUCUUGAGUGUGGUAGCGUACACCUGCUCCCUUCUGGCUUUGGGGAAGGGGAUGAGACUGCGCUCCCGAACCGGAGGCAUACUGGGCCGCUGAGGCAUAGGAAUGGUCACAAGGUUUAAGCCCUGAAUUAAGUUUUCCCCCUUAGACGCCUCAAGCCCUCCAGCCCAAGAUGUAGCCCUCGAAUAGUCUAGCUGCGGGGUUCCGCGUUCAUGGUUUAAGGGAAAGUUAUCCAAACGGAAGUCCACCCCCGAAAACCAAUGAAGAAAGCCGAAUAGGAUUAUGAGAUGCGGGAGGGGGUGCCCCGCAGCUCUAAAAGCUCACCUCCUUACGACCCUGCCAAGAAUGUGGGUUGAGAAUUCAUCUAAGAACGCUGUGAAACAUGAGGCACACACAGGAGACCCCCUUUUCUAGCAGGCCAAUUCGGAUGACCCCCACCCCGCAUCAUUAUUGAGCACAGGUGUUGAACCCUUCACCUGUGUGUGUGUGCAGCGAAAGGGUCUUGACUUGAUGGGGCUGUCUGAGUGGUCCUCAACUGACAUGCAAUCCAUACUCUUUCAUUCAUAGAUACAGCUUUCCCUAUGGGAUUUUUGGAGGGGGAAAAUGACAUUAAAAAUUCUUCAGGGCAGGGGCAGUGAGAUGGCUCAGUGGAUGGAGAGAGCCAGACCUAGGGAGAGAGCGAAGAUCCUGGGUUCAAAUCUGGCCUCAGACUCUUUCUAGGGUGUGAUCUUGGGCAAGACACCACCCCAAGUGUGUAGGCUUUACCACUCUUUUGCCUUGGAACCAAUACACAGCAUCAAUUCUAAGACAGAAGGGGUUUCCCUGGACAGCAGAAGAAGGAAGGACAUAUUUGGAAAUGGAAUAAAAGCAAAAGGUCUCUACCCAUCCAUGCCUGUUUAUCAAGAGGGACUCAUCUAUGUCCUCUUGCAAUUCCACCCUAUUGGUUCCGUCCAAUGUGCUGUGAUGGGAAUAUGGGGGUGCUGGAAGGGAGGAAGGAGAGAAGGAAAGAGGAAAGGAGGAAAGCAGAGAGAUAUCUUGAAAAUUAGUUCUCUGAAAAUGGAAAACAGUAUGGCAGAAAUGAGACAGAGACUGUCACCUCAUGCCAUAUACCAAGGUCUGCACGGUCUACGCAGAGAGGGACACAACAUGAAAAGGAAACUUUCAGCACAGAAGGCCUUUCGGAGGAUCUGGACCCGAGUCUGUGCCCUUCCACGCAUUGAUUUCCCCCAGUCUUUAGGUACACGUCACCUGUGA